UACGUAGGGUCCAAGCGUUAUCCGGAAUCACUGGGCGUAAAGCGUGCGUAGGUGGCGUGUUAAGUGAGAUGUGAAGCCGUGUGGCUCAACCAUACGUUGUGUCUCAUACUGGCAUGCUAGAGGACGGCAGAGGCAAGUGGAAUUACGAGUGUAGCAGUGAAAUGCGUAGAGAUUCGUAGGAACACCAAUGGCGAAGGCAGCUUGCUGGGCCACUCCUGACACUGAGGUACGAAAGCGUGGGGAGCGAACAGG
rnacentral:rRNA from 1 species